GAUGAACGCUAGCGACAGGCCUAACACAUGCAAGUCGAGGGGCAGCAUGAAAUUAGCUUGCUAAUUUUGAUGGCGACCGGCGCACGGGUGAGUAACACGUAUGCAACCUGCCUGUAAGCGGGGGCUAACCCGGAGAAAUUCGGACUAAUACCGCAUAAUCUCAUCGAAUCGCAUGUUUUGAUGAUUAAAAAUUUAUUGCUUACAGCUAGGCAUGCGUAUGAUUAGCUAGUUGGCGGGGUAACGUCCCACCAAGGCGACGAUCAUUAGGGGUUCUGAGAGGAAGGUCCCCCACAUUGGAACUGAGACACGCUCCAAACUCCUACGGGAGGCAGCAGUGAGGAAUAUUGGUCAAUGGACGCAAGUCUGAACCAGCCAUGUCGCGUGAAGGAUGACUGUCCUAUGGAUUGUAAACUUCUUUUAUAUGGGGAUAAAGUGUGAGACUUGUCUCAUUUUGCAUGUACCAUAUGAAUAAGCAUCGGCUAACUCCGUGCCAGCCGCCGCAGUAACAC
rnacentral:rRNA from 1 species